rnacentral:lncRNA from 1 species
CUUGUUACCUUGAUGGGGUCGUUGUCAUAUGAAAAAGGGGUCCAUAUGGAGGGUACAAUACUAAUUCUUAAAUUCUUAUAGCCAAGAACAUGUUUUUCUCAAGUUUCUCGGUGGGAGAAUAUCAGUUUGUCCUCUGUGUAAAGCUCUCAAUUCAAGUUAGUCCAAUUCAUUUGAGUUAUUUGUACUAUAAGAAUAAAGGUAAAAUAUCA